UACGUAGGCGGAAAAUUAAGUCAGUAGUGAAAUCCUGCAGCUUAACUGUAGAAUUGCCAUUGAUACUGGUCUUCUUGAAUUUAGUUGAGGUGGGCGGAAUGUGUAAUGUAGCGGUGAAAUGCUUAGAUAUUACACAGAACACCGAUUGCGAAGGCAGCUCACUAAACUAACAUUGACGCUAAGGUACGAAAGCGUGGGGAGCGAACAGGAUUAGAUACCCUGGUAGUCC
rnacentral:rRNA from 1 species